rnacentral:lncRNA from 1 species
AUGAUUGGUGACUCCAAAACUGACGGAAAAUUAUAGAAGGAUAAACAUUUUAAAUGUUCCAUUGCCGAGAUAGUGCAACGGAUAUGCAUCUUAAGUCGUUCUUUGAGAAAGAGAAUUCUUUGACGACCACGCCCAUUUCUUUUGUGAAUGGUACCUAUUUCUAUUGGCUGAAUUAGCUGUUAAAGUCCUAAAGAGGGCGGGACUUUGGACGAUGGAUCAUCGUACCAUCGUAUAAACGGAUGCAACGGGCUUAAAUCCUAGUUGGAUAAUCCUUCUAGAAUCCUUCUGGUAAACAAGGUUUAUAACGCUGUCUAAAAUAUGUUAUGAAAAGGACAAAAUUAUAUUAAAUGCUAGAAUAUUUAUAUAAAGGGAUUUAGCAGAAAAUUCUUUGUGCUGGCUAGUAGAAAAAUCAAGAAAAUUAUACAUAAUUACGUGUUUAUCAAUUUAAAUGUUUAGUUUUAAAAACAAAAAAUUUUCAUUUAUUGUACAUUAUUUUACUAAGUACAAGUACUAAAUGUACUAUGCAGAAAAAUA